CUGGGACUAUGGCCGGUGGUGGGAGCUUCAAGUGUGGGCUCCUUGAUUUCCCUGGCAGCUGGUGGGGCAAGGAGGCGGGAACCAAAGUCAGGCCUUCUCCGCUCUGUCACCUGCUACAGCCUUGAGCUACUCCAGGAGCUUGCAACAUCUCAGGCUCCGGCUGGAACUCUUCCCCGUCUGACAGCAGGACUCUGCCUGGCCAGCAGCUGAUCAAAUGUGGAGCCAGGGUGAGUGGGGGAGCCAACACGCAGAUCAAGACUUCAGUCAGAGAAGCAAGUCCGUCCAUCCCCUCCCACCCACCAGCAACUUGCAUAGACUUCCGGUCUCUACCACGGGGCCCAAACUCUCACUGACCACCACCCUUUAAUCCCAGGGUGCACCUUUAAUCCCAGCACUUGGGUGGCAAGCCUGGACUACCUGAGGUCCUGAGUUCAAUUCCUAGUAACCAUAAGGUGUCUCACUGAAAGACCCUUGAAGAGGACUUCCCUCGAGAGGAGACUCCCCCGAAGCCAAGGAACAGGCCGAGACCAUGCGGAUGCAAAUAGCAAGAGGUUUAUUGUGUGAACACAGGUACCUGCGGGCGACAAAGUCUUUCGGAGGACUUGCGCACCUGCAGACUGGGGGGAGGUCUUUUUAUAGGAAAGAGGGCGGCCAAAGCAGAUUACAGAAGCAGAUGCAUGGUUAUUGGUCUGGUUGGGAUGAGGCAGGGGGCAUAAGUGGUUUCUCCUUUCCCAGCACAGAUGUAUGGCGACAGACAUCCUGUUUUCUUUUGGUUCCUCCUUUCCCAGCACAGAUGUAUGGCGACAGACAUCUAUGUCAUAAAUAUCCUGCUUUGCAGCCAGAGGCCCUGGCCUCAUAAAAUAUCCUGCUUUGCAGCCAGAGGCCCUGACCUCACUCUGCACUUACAUUUGUUUGUCAAGAGUCUUGUAAAAUGAUGUUACAGCAGUUAAGCUGGGGUCCUUCAUAGGGGGAAUUGUUUCUUUUGUAAACUGGUGAUAUUUUAAGUUUGGCACAUGUGCUGACUAUAGGCAUCCUGUUUCCCUAAACGGGAUGUUCUCAUGAGAGCCAGCUAGCUAUGGGU